UUUCCGUGCCCUCGCAAGGCGCCUAAGUGCAAGAAGGAGGUUGUGCGUCCUGUAAAAGUGGCUGCCCCAGGAGCUUCGGGAGAGAUGCCCUGCCUCACGGGCUGGACGGGGAGGGGCGGCAACAGAAGUUUUCCUUUCAUCCCAGAGCUUAAAUUGGAGAGAGCGUGCACAUCUAGGGCCAUCUCUUUAUCCCUGAGGCUAGUAAAGCCUAUUCGCCCAGCUGCAGUUUGGGAGACAGCGUGUCUUGUCCCUCUUUCCCCGGCCCACCACCCCUCUGGGGAACCCAGCAGAAGGCUAGGUGUGAAAUCUUGCCUCGAGCACCGCUUUGUGCUGCCAGGCCGUUGUUUGUGGUUGAAGUGUGCUGGGAGGAGGAAAUGCUCCAUUUAUAUACAGUGGGGAGGUUUGGAGCCGACAGCUGCCCUUGAGCAGGCCAGGGAGAUGAGACUGCAUGGGAAAUGUGCUGGCCAAGCUGCUGGUGGGGAAUAGCAGUGCAGGGCUGUCCUGAGGCGCAGCUGCAGAGGUGCCCUGGGGCAUGCUGGAGACACUGCCAGCCCCCACAGGUGAGCCACCCACCUAAUGUCUCCCUGCCCUCACACCUCUCCUGGCUCUGACAGCAGGAGACCACUGUACUGGUGGUAACACUGGCUUCUGGGGCUGGGGAGGCUGGCCCCAGUGGGGUCCACAUAUCCAUUUCUCUCUUGCCAGAAGAAGGAAGGGCUCUCAGAGGCCGCGGGGGUGACGUCUGUGAGCAAAGCAGAGCUCUGCGCCACCGGGGAGAAGAGGUGGCUUCUCCUUCUGCCCCACUUUUGCAUCCUUGGAGGGCACAGCUGUCUCGCACCUGUUAUUUGCUCUUGGGUAUUCUGCUUUGGGCUUUCUGGCUCUCGUGGCCUUUUUCUGGUAGUGUUUCUGUUAGUUUUGCUGUAAGGAUUUUUAACUGAGAAAGAUCUGAGAAAAGCUCCUGGGGCCAGGCAACCGUUUAAACUUCGGCUUCUACCCCUGGAAACAGCAUACACAAUUAGCGAUUAGCAAUGAUAGGGCAUAUUUAGAAAGAUAAAAUAGUGUAAAUGUGUCUGUCAAGUCUUUUUAGCAGAAAAGACCUUCUAAAUUCCUUGUUCAGUAUCAGUGACAGAGAUGUUACUAUCCAGCAGGAAAAAAAAUGUAUUGCAAGUUAAUUUUUGUUGUGUUUUAUUUUCUUAACAUCUAGGCUUGAUAACUAAAAUCCUUUACUCACUGAUCCCCCUGUUAUGUUGAUCUGAAAGGUUCAGCUUAUCCAGAUUUCAGUAAACCUUUUAUUAGGACCAGGCCAGCUCAGCACUUAACUCACAUUUUUUUGUUUCUGUGCUGAUUUAGGAUAGCUUUUUUCCUAGAUGGUUAAGAUUUUGCUCAUGACCUGUAAGAGGCCACAUUCUUUAUAUAUCUCGAUAAUCUCAUACUAGAGCUUCUCUAGUUUUCCGAUCUUUUCCUGCAGUAUUCAAAAUUGAGGUUUGUUAAAACAAUCUAAAUGUGAACUGACAUCUAAUUGUGACUGUCCUAGAUAGUCAUUGAAGAGAGAGAGAAGUAGUAGAUGUGGAUUCAUCUUCUUCACCUCAGCAGUUUAAUGCUGAAACCUAGUAGUAAACAUGUUGUUAAAUUGCUGAUAAAUCCAGCUAGUCUGGGAUUGUUUACAAAAUCUUGGAAUUGCAAAAAGAGAUUUAGUAGAAGAUGACUGCUUUUCAUUUUCCAAUCUGUUUUGCUUUAAAUUCUUAGCUGUAUAGCUUCCAUUCUAGAAAGUUCUGUUGAGUUACUGGCACUUGUUCAAGCAUAAGCUCUUUGAGACCGACAUUCUUACUUUAUCUGCAUAGUGGAUCACUAUCAGUUCUCCAAAGGUGAAUACUGUUUGUUUUCAUACUUUCAAACUGAGGACCAUGCAAGAUCUCUUAACAGAGUCUCUAUAAGGAGCGUACUGCUCAGCAUAGUUUCAAAAUGCAUAUACAUUAAUAAGUAAGAGUUGCAGAGUAUUUGAUCCUGACAUAAAACUAAGUGCUUUUCAGACUCUGUAUUUAUAAACUUAACAUAGGUCGCUUGAUUCUUUUCAGUAACAUUAUAGCAGUUUUUUAGAGUGGGAUUUGGUAGUCAUCUUAAGUCAACAACAUUACAUAACUGUUUUAGGGAGGGAAAGGAAGAACAAUUUAUCCUUUUUAGACUUCAGGGGAAUUUUAAGUACACAAAGUAUAAUUACUCUAAUUGAAAUUUAUCCAGGAACCUAGAAUUAACCACCCUUCUCUCAGGACAAAUAUAACAGGAUCAUGUGAUGAUCAUGAGUUUCAAUUUAAAAGUAAGUGAAAGACUGUGAAUGAAAAGCCAUUAUUUAGUGUGCUGUUGUUUAUCUCAGUUCUGUUUCACAGCCACUGUGUCGCUAUCUUCUGUCCACCCUAUGCACUAUUUUAGAGCCAAACAUAACAAAAGCUUUUUUUGACCGUGACUUACACGUUAUGCUGGGGGAUUUGGGGAACUAUGACUUUUUGUGUUAAUGGAGUUCAUAUGAAGCAGCAUUAAAAUUUAUAUAUGGACCAUAAUACUAGUGAAACCUUAUUUUUAAACAAAAUAAUUUAAAUUUUAGAAAUGCACAAUCUAUAAUUUGAUUAUCAGUAUUUCUGAUCCCUCCCCCAUAGAAAAGCCUGCAGUAAUUAUCUAUUUUAUCUACAAGUAUCUGUCAGAAAAAUAUCAGUACUAUUAAUGUAUUAUUCUAGUUUGUAUAUUUUAACAGCUAAAGUAUACAUGAUCUAGAAAAGAUAUGGUUAUAACACAAUCAGAUCUCUAUAUAACAGUCUCUUCUUAAUUCCUCAAAAUAAUUACAUUCUGCACAUAGAGUCCAUAUUUUAUGUACAUUUUAUUUUAUAUAUAUAGGAUAGCCUGUUUACCUGAAUGAAACUGACAUUUUCAUCUCUCCCAUGCAAACUUCCUUGUCUGCAGUGCCUGCUGUAUAGGUUUUGCUAGGCAGACAUUGCUGUGCAGCACAGCCUUUUAAGGGAGAAGUAUCUGUUCUGUUUUUAUGUUCUUUACUAAAUACAGUGUUGUAGAUGGUACCACAAUAAUUAACUGGAAUUCUACUUCUUUUUGCAAUGUUUGAUGAGCAAAAUCCCCCUGUUUCUACUGCAUAUCGCUGUUGCAGCUCCAAGAUAAUGUUUUCUGUGUAUAAUAACUAUCAUAAUCUGUGGGAACCUUGUAAGCUUAGCUUUGUUUUGUCCACCUUUAAAAAGUGCACAGGCAGGGCAAAAGAUCCCCACCCCUCUCUGUGGAUUGGUGCACUGGCUCUUGAGGAAUGGUUUGCUCUCUCCCUUGUCAUUAAGCCUGUACUGAACAGGUCAACCAACACUGGAUGAGAUUAUCUGGAAAGUGUACUGGGCUGCAGAACAGAAGGAUAAAGUUCUUUAAAAGGCGUCAUUGCAUGAAAACUGACAGUGCACACAACAACCAUACUUAGAAUCAUUGAUUUGGUUCCUGUUUGAUUGCCAUAAAACAUUUUUAAGAAAUGGAGGAAGAUAAAGGGCAGAGUGCUAAAGCUACCAGUGCGGUGGGUGACCUAAGAAAAAGUUGGCAGACCUGGGCAGAGGAUCAGAUCGAGUAUCAGAGAAAGAAUCCGUUCAGCAACAAGGAGAGGCUUGCGUCUAAACCUGUGCAUACCCACAGAGGAGAUCCUACCUAUGGGAGACCCCCUGAAGGGUCUAAAACAGAGCAGAGGGGGAAAGAUGCCCACUCACAUGUGGGGAAGGAAGUGGAAGAGCUGUGCUUGAUCAUAAGAAGCACCGGCGAGAGGGGAGAAGAUGGACAUGUGAGUGUGACAUUUCGGCAGCUGUUUGAAACAUAUGUGACUAUUUCCAAUAAAGUAGUGGGGAUCUUGUUGAGAGCCAGAAAACAUGGUCUGGUUCAUUUUGAAGGUGAAAUGCUUUGGCAAGGAAAAGAUGAUGAUGUGAUCAUCACUUUACUAGAAUAAGGCUUUGUCAUCUGAUGAAUUCUGCUGCAUGUUUCCAUUUGGAAAGAACAUAUCUAGAUACCAUCUUGAAAGAGGUUUUCCUUACAGAAUUUCAACUCGGCAAAUUAACGGGAUAUGAGCAGAAGAGAAAAUUGGUAAGAAGGAUGAAAGGUAUUUUCAUAAAAAUGGUAGAUAUUGUGGACAGAAAUCACAAAUAGUCAACUAAUCUAUUACUCUCCCAAUGGAUUGUCCUUUCAUUAUUACCAUCCCUUGCAUGUCAUUCUUUAAAUGUCUCUGCUGGCUUAUUGCUUUAGGUAGCUGAAAGUUUAAAUUACUAAUUUGCUACUGUACAACACUGAUUCUUGCAGGCUGUGAAAUAUGCACUGUGUGGAGGAUUUUUAUGGCAAAACACAGAAUUUAAAUAAAUAUUUCUGUAGGAAUUCAUAUACUUCUUCAAAAAAGAGCUUGAUCUAUAGCAACAGUUUAAUUAUUUUCACAUGGUGAAGUUAAAUAAAUGGAAGUUUUACUGACUUCCAGGAAGUAUAUGAGAAUUCCCAAGUUUACAGAAAUAUCACUUGCUUAAGAGUCUACAGAAUAUGCAGCAAGGAUACUACAUGGUUCCUAAAUUAUCUGCAUCUUUCAUGUAUUCUGUAGAGCUGCACUAGUCUUGGUAUUUAAUAGUCUAUUCCUAUCAUUAUAUCUUCUCCAAAGCUUUCCAGUGUCUGUUGUUCUUCUUCCUUUUUCUAUCUCACACCAUUUUUACCUGUUCUGUUCUUCUAAUGCUACCUCAUCCCCUAGAAGUUCAGAAAGCUUUGCAGCCUUUUGGGGGAAUUUGACUAUGUUUCUUCUCAGAAAGUAGGGUGCCACAACAUAGAGAUGUGAGAGAGAUAUUGGCACUUUGUGUAUUGGUGAAAAGAAAAAAAAAACAUCCUUCACUUCUUUCCACAAAAUGUAGCAAUGUUGUUUACAACAGGAGAGUAGAGAUACUGGAGUGCCAAAUGCAUAAAUAAAAAUAUUGCACUGGAGUCACAUACCUCACUUGGUCAGGCAGAGUUGUGCUUUCAGUGCAGUUUUAAUUUCUCGAAACUGGGAGAAAAAAUGAGCUGCUGUUUAAAAAUGGGCCUGAAAGAUAAAGAUGACAGAUAACAUUUCUUUUCCUAAUUCUUCUGGGGAAACUUUUUUUAACUGAAAAAAAAAGAUUGGUUAUUGACAACAAUUGUAAUAGUGCCAUUAGAAAUAUUCAGGAGCUACAUAGGAGCUAAUAGUUCCCAUGAAGAAAUCUGUAUCCAUUGGGAAUAGCAAAUUCUGUUUUUUACCAGCUUAAAUAAAAGCUCUUAUGUGGUGAAAGCUCUUAUGUGGUGCUAACUGUUUUACUUAAUGGGUUUUUAAAAUAAGAAUAUUCUGUUGUCUCAAAAGGAUGUUGAGACAAUAUAAAUUACGAACAUGUUAAAUGUGAUUAAAUUCUUUUAUACUAAUUAUAUAAAACUUUUUUUGCAAAAAGCCUGAUUUUUUUUAUAUUUCCAUCAAAUAGAGAUUUGCAUCAAAACACAUUUUUUGUUUCAUUGAACAAAUAAAAAUAUAAUUUAUAUUACCCCUUUGUCUCCUUUUCCUAGUGAAAAGGUAGGUAGAAGAGAAAAUAGGGGAGAAAAGAAGGUGCCAAAGUAAGUAUAUCUGAGGGACAGGGAAACCAGAAAGCAUGGAAGGGGAAACAAAUGAUGGGUUUUAUAAUCACAUAAUUUUACCAUGUUGGAAACUGGGGGAUGCAUGCUGCACUAGAUACCGCAUUUAAUACAUUUAAAAUGCUGUGUUUUUCAAAAAAAUCCAUUUCUUGCCAAAAUGAUAUGAGCAUGCCUCAGCAGAUUUCAAUUCCUACUAGAUAAAGCCUGGGCACACAUUGUAUAAAAAUUAAUUUCAAAAUCAAUGUCAGGAUUGUUAAAAUACAGCUACAGGAUGUGGUUUGUUUAAUUUUAACUUAAUUUUAAAUCCAGUUGAUUCUGCUGUAACAUUAGUUCAUAAUUUGUAGGAAGCAGUAUCAGGCAGUUCAAGUAUCACUAACUAACAGGAUGACAGCAUCAAGAAAAAUAAUACAUUAUUCUCAGAAAAUACAGAGGAUGCUUAGGCUGCACACUGCCUAAACUAAGAUGCAAGUGCAGCUCCUGCAGACUUACAAGUUCUUAUUGUUAUGGCUCAGAGAGUUAAACCACAGGAAUAUGGCCUUCAACUGCCAUAUAUGCAGUCAAUGUUAGGUACUUAUAUAGUCUCUGUUGCACUCUUUCCUGCUACUGCGGGAUGCCUCUGCAAGAGCUGUACAUAUAACUAGGGUCCAUCUACAAGAGCUGUGAACAUACCUCUGAUUAGUAUCAAAACAUAGAAAAACAGAGUAAGCCCCAAUUAAAUGGUCAGACCAAUGCUGUAAGCAACUAUAACAAGCUUGCCCUAUCAUAUUUUGGAUAAAUCCAAGAAUUAGUAUUGGAGAAAUGAUUUAUUUAGGGAUAAACUUUUUUUUAAAUAAUCAUAGGAAAUUUGGCCCCAUCUGCCAGCUAUAGAUGAGUAUUCUGUAAAGAGUGACUGCUGUCUUUCUGUUAUGCAUAUCUAUGCAACUGUCAUAAACACCAGAAAGCUGCCAAACUGGGUCAGCUCACAGGCUGACAAAUCUGCUUUCAGCAAUAGCUGUUACUCGAAAAGAAGUCUAAAGGAUAAGUGCAAUUGCUCGAUCUGUGCACUGAUACACUUAAGAAUAAAAAUGACUCCUGAAGCCUAUACAGUCAGGUAUACAUCAUAUCUAGUGGACAAAACUGGACUUAGCUCCUAGUUUGCAAACUAGGGAAAAUUUUCCUUCAUCAUCUGCAAUGUAGAGAAAAGACUGACAUCUGGAGAUGAAUCAGUUCUUAAACUUUUAUGCAAUGGGCCACCAUUAAAGUAAAUGGAACAGCUAAUCUAAUACAUCAUUUUCGCAAGAAGCGUUAAGACAUGAGUUUAUGUUAGUACUACAGAUUAUUUGUAGUAGUAAGUAAACUUUGACCUUCUAAAAGGUGUUCUUACUCCAUCAAGUCACUUUCGGUUCUUCAGAUCUCUCCUAAAAGGUCACUUUUUGUAGCAAACUUAUCAGCUCCCUCAGUAGUCUUUCCUCUUCUUCCAGUUGAAGCCUGUCUAUUCUACAUGGGUUUUAGACUAUAAAUUGUACAGGGAUUAUCUGUAUUUUGUCUUGUGAAACACUGAAAAUGCUUUCAGCACUUCAAUAAAUAUUGCACAUCAGUUUGA